UUGAGCCGUAUGCGGGGGAACUCGCACGUGCGGUUCUUAGGGUGCUCAAAGAGUGCUUUCCAGAAGAUGGAAAAGGAGAGAAUGCACUUACAGCCUCUCUCUCAUAUUCACCUGCCAAGGCAUGACAUAGAUAGUAGACAGUCAGCUCUCUUACAGCUAGUUACUGCGAUUGAUUGGGGACUCCCC
rnacentral:ncRNA from 1 species